AUUGAACGCUGGCGGCAGGCUUAACACAUGCAAGUCGAACGGUAACAUAAAGAAGCCUGCUUCUUUGAUGACGAGUGGCGGACGGGUGAGUAAUGCUUGGGAAUCUAGCUUAUGGAGGGGGAUAACUACGGGAAACUGUAGCUAAUACCGCGUAAUAUCGAAAGAUUAAAGUGUGGGACCUUCGGGCCACAUGCCAUAGGAUGAGCCCAAGUGGGAUUAGGUAGUUGGUGAGGUAAAGGCUCACCAAGCCGACGAUCUCUAGCUGGUCUGAGAGGAUGACCAGCCACACUGGGACUGAGACACGGCCCAGACUCCUACGGGAGGCAGCAGUGGGGAAUAUUGCGCAAUGGGGGCAACCCUGACGCAGCCAUGCCGCGUGAAUGAAGAAGGCCUUCGGGUUGUAAAGUUCUUUCGGUAGCGAGGAAGGCAUUUAGUUUAAUAGACUAGGUGAUUGACGUUAACUACAGAAGAAGCACCGGCU
rnacentral:rRNA from 1 species